CGUAGAAGCAACACCUCGGACGAGGAGAAUCAUGGUGAAAUUUGUGAUCCGUCGGAUCGACGAUAUAUUUUACUGAUCAGGAACACCGAAAACUACGUCGACUGAAUUGACAGGCGAAUUAAGAAAAACGCAAAAAAAAAAAAAAAAAAAAAAAAAAAAAAAGAAAAAGAGAGAGAAAGAAAAACAAGAAGAAAAAAGAAAGAAAAAAAAAUAAAGAAACUAAUCGUCAUAAUUUUCAUUCGUUCCAUUGAUAAAAUUCAACCAAUAAUAGAUUCAAAGUUCUUUUUUUUUUUUCUUUUUUUUUUUUUUUUAUGGGAUCGGUAAAAGAGCAUCAAGAAUAAUUUUGUUUCAAUAACGUCGGAAUCCUUAAUGGUCGAUGGCGUCGCCAUCAAGAGUUGGCAAUUUGACUGGUCGAACUGUGUACGUGCUCAAGAGUGGCACAUAGAAAGAAAAAGAAAAGAAACAGAAGAAAAAGAAGAAGAAGAAGAAGAAGAGGAAAAGAGGAAGAGGAAGAGGAAGAGGAAGAAAGGAUAAGGAAAAGGAAAGAAGAAAGAAAAUGAAGGAAAACACGGAAACGGUUUGAUAGUGUGGUGAUAGUGAUGGUGAUGGUAGUGGUGUAGUUGUAGUGGUAGUGGUGAUGCUACUGCCAGCGCGCUUCUGCUUUGCAUAAUCAAAUCCUACGACAAUGUGGGAGAAUGCGAAGUACAGAAGAGAGAGUCCUCCCCUCUCAAACCUCCACCACCCCUCCUAUCCUCCGCCCAUCUCUUCUCACCCCGUUCUGUCUUCAGAGAGGGUAAAUCCUCUGAGCACGCGAGGACUUCGAAAAAUGCACUUUCAACUUUUCCCCAUACCUUAGGGAAGAUGGACCAACCUUUUGGUCAUGAUGUUCGAGGGGUUUGCAAAUGAUCGUUGACAAUCAUUACCUUGUAAAACGUUAAAAAAAGAAAUCAGAAAAUUAAAAGGCGAUAUGGCAUCAACUUAUAUCACAUAAAUGGAAUAUACAAGAUUCAACGGAAUGGAUUUAUUCGAAGCAUCAAACUCCUAUGGUGAUUCUCUAUCGGUGAUUAAAUCUCCUUUUGUUCCGCGCGUCGGAUUAUUCUAAUUUCUCUGAAACGUAAACGAUUCCAAUUAUAACGAGAUAGUCUCUCUCUUUCUCUUAAAAAAAAAAAAAAAAAAAAAAAAAAAAAAAAAAAAAAAGGGUAACGCAUUUCGGUCAAUAUUUUUUUUCCCCCUACAUAAACGUCCAACAAAUAAUUAUUUACAUUCGAACGAUAGCAAAAACAAAAUAAAAUAAAAUCUAUUAAAGGACGUUGAUAAUUAGAAUUCUCAUUGAAAAUCGCGUAUUUUUUCGCUUACAUUAUUUUUCGAAUAUUACGCUUGAUUCGUCGAUAUGAUUGAAAAAGAGAGAAAUGAAAAAAAAAAAAAAAAGAAAAAAAAAAGAAAAAAGAAAAGAAAAAGUUAGUCAAAGGGAAUGAAGGAAAAUAUCCUGCGACAUUUGGCAAGGCAAUGUGAAGAAAAAAGAGAAAGAUAAAAGAAAAAAAAAAAAAAAAAGAAAAGAAAAGAAGGAAAAAGAAGAAAAAAAAGAUAACGUGCCUUCGCUUAAGGAUGGAGGGUGAAAAAAAAAAAAAAAGAAAAAUAGAAGAAAAAGAAGAAGAAGUAGAAGAAGAGAAAGAGAUGGAAGAGGUGGUAGAAGAAGAAAGCGUCGGAAAGUUUGACGAAAGGGAAGGAGAGAUGGCACGCACUCCCUCGUCAAAAUGGACGGGCUAAGCUCGUAUAAGUCUAACGGGAUUUUCGAUCGUGGGUGGUGGAAUAUACAUAUAUACAUAUAUACAUAUAUAUAUGCAUUUACAUGUGUAUGUGUGCGUGUGUGUGUGUAGGCCACAGCCAAUGCGAAUAAGAGAGAAAGAGAGAUUGGAAGAGUAGGUGGGACUCCCUCAAGAUGGCGGCUGUAAGGGAUGGUUUAGGGCGCAUGAGGGUUGCGGGUGAAGCAAUAUAUCAGUAGAAGACCCUUCUCUCGAGGGUAACUUCAACCCCGACCGAUGGUGGCCGUUACCAUCUCUUUCUCUCUCUCUCUCUCUCUUCGUCUUUUACCCUAUGUAGCCUCCACCAUCUUCUUCUUCUUCUUCUUCUUCAUCUUCUUCUUCUUCUUUUUCAUCCAUCCAUCCAUCCAUCCAUCCAUUCGUUCAUUCUUUCUCAUCUUAAGAUACGUCUCAAAGAUGCUUACCCUCGAUCAGUACCACCCUCAAGAAAAAGUGAGAAAGAGAAAGAUAGGUAGAGAUAAAGAGAUAGAGAUAGAUAGAUGAGAGAGAGAGAGAGAGAAAGAGAGAAAGAGAGCCCAGGGGUCCGUUCACGAAAGUAUAAACGUCACCGAAGACUGAUGGAAAUGGACGAGACGUUCGAGGGAGGAGCGGACGAUCGGGAAAUGGUGGAAAAUCGAAUGGAGGGCGAAACGAGAAAACAGGACGGACUUGAGGGGUGCAUUUCUCUUUCUCCCUUCCCCCGUCUCUCUCUCUCUCUCUUUCUCUUUCUCUCUUUUUCUUUCUUCUUUGAGCUAAAAGCUUCGUUCAUCGGACUUCUCUCUUUCUGUCUCUCUCUGUCUCUCUCUCUCUCUCUCUCUCUCUCUCUCUUUCUUAUUUUCCAUUCCGUUCUUUUGUCACGAUGAUGUCGAAUCGAUGGAGCAACCCAGAGAUAUCCUAUCGGAAGUGACUGGAAAAGGGAGUCCCUAUGAGUCCCUCAGAGACGACGAGUUUGACCUGGGGCUUGAGAAAUUUAUUAUAAAUUUUUCUGAUUGGUUAGAUCAAUAAUACAUUAGAUAUAUUUAUUUUCUUCAUCACCGUCGUCGAUAUACUAUUUGAUGUUAUUUUUCUGCGACUAUUGGCGAUAGCAAAUCGUUCCUUCGAGAAUAAUAAUAAUAAAAAUAAUAAUAAUAAUAAUAAUAAUAAUAAUAAUAGUAAUAAUAUUAAUAAUAAUAAAAAUAAUAAUGAAAAAGAAAAAGUAAAAGAAAAAUAAAUGAUCAUGAAGAAGGGUUAUUACGCGACCUACGUAGAAACUCACACGGUUUUACGGACAAAACUCUUGGUUAUGAAUUUCUCGACCUUCGUAUGCUUGUUCAUAUAAUAACUUCGAAAUAGAAGGGGAAAGGAAGGAAAGAAAAAGAGAAAAAAGAAAGAAAGAAAGAAAGAAAAAAAAAAUAAGAAAAGAUACGAAAAAUCCGCCAUCCUACGAAUUUCUCCUCUAAUCACAUUUUGUCUCUCUUUUUCUUUUUCUCUCUCUCUCUCUCUCUUUCUCUCUCUCUCUCUCUCUCUCUCUCUAUAUAUAUAUAUAUAUAUAUAUAUCUCGACGGAAGAGUCGUCGCAUGUCGAAAUAGAGGAAAGCAAGAGCAUCGAGAUAAAAGGAAAAAAAAAGGAAAAGAAGAAAAAAAAAGAAAGAAAAAGAAAAAUGACGAGAGGGAAGAAAUUCGUAAGAGCGAGGACAAUACCGAAGGCUCGCGUUAAUCGACGCUUGCGGAACGAGACGAAAAAAGAGAACGAGAGAACAAGAAAACGAGUAAACGACAGAGAGAGAGAGAGAGAGAGAGAGAAAAACAAAAAAGCAUACGUUGGGUCGAGGUAAAUCGUGCUUCUCGAUGAGGAAAAAGAAAAUUUCGAAAGUAAAAGAAGAAGAAGAAGAAGUAGAAGAAGAAGAAACGAAAACCGUUCACGGAAAUCCAGAGUUGAACGAAAUCGCAGAGCUUUUCAAUUGCGAUUUCCUCUGGCACACUCGAGAAAUUCAACCUCUCUCUCUCUCUCUCUCUCUUUCCCUCUCCUUUUCUCUCUUUUUCUUUCUGUCUCUCUCUCUCACUUAUUCUCCCCUUUCUCUCUUCCUUUUCACCCCAAGGUUUCUUGCAAAGAUCAGCGAAGGUAGGUGGGUUUGCUUGCAGGAUCAAGAAUAACACUAUUCGAAAAGCUUUUUCUACGUUUUUAAAAUGCACGUUCGUACCGAACCGAUGCGUAACUCGGUAGAACGUAGUAGAUGCGGGAAAAAUUGUUGAAGGGAAAAAUUUUCAAGGCGUAAAAGAAAAAC